GACAGAGGGUGCAAACGUUGUUCGGAAUUACUGGGCGUAAAGCGCGUGUAGGUGGCAAGGUAAGUCGGGUGUGAAAGCCCUGGGCUCAACCCAGGAAGUGCAUUCGAUACUACCUCGCUAGAGUCCCGGAGAGGUUGGUGGAACUCUCGGUGUAGAGGUGAAAUUCGUAGAUAUCGAGAAGAACACCGGUGGCGAAGGCGGCCAACUGGACGGUGACUGACACUGAGACGCGAAAGCGUGGGGAGCAAACAGG
rnacentral:rRNA from 1 species